rnacentral:rRNA from 1 species
GAUGAACGCUAGCGGCAGGCUUAAUACAUGCAAGUCGAGGGGCAUCAAGGUACACGAAAGUGUAUUGUUGGCGACCGGCGGACGGGUGAGUAAUAGGUAGGUAACCUACCUCAUACUGAGGCAUAGCUGGGAGAAAUUCCAGGUAAUUCCUCAUGAGGUUAUAUGACACAUGUGAUAUAAUCAAAGGUAUCGCAAGGUACUGGUAUGAGAUGGGCUUACUGACCAUUAGCUAGUUGGUGAGAUAAGAGCUCACCAAGGCGAAGAUGGUUAGGGGUUUGAGAGAGAGAUCCCCACAUUGGAACUGAGAUACGGUCCAGACUCCUACGGGAGGACAGCAGUAGGGAAUAUUGGGCAAUGGGCGGAAGCCUGACCCAGCCAUGCCGCGUGAAGGAAGAACGGCCUUAUGGGUUGGUAAACUUUACUUUACUAUGCGACUAACCUAAGAUUAACGUAGAUAAUUACUUAUAAGUAAUAUAGACAUAAAAAAACAACGACCGACC